UUGUCAAAUAUCCUAUUAGCAUUCUAACUUCUAAUUGUCUCAAAAUGUCAUAAUUCUUAUAACCUAUUUUUAAAAUCAGGCUUGAAAUAAGGUGCUUACACUGUAAUUGUUUCUUUAUCCUUUUUGUUGCUUUAUAUCAUUAGGGUACUCCUCCGUCCCUUUUCUCUUAAAAUUUAUUUCAUAAAACAAAUUAGGUUUUAAAAUAAACUAUAACUAUAGGAAAUACAAUUUAAAUACAAUUUAAACAAUUUAAACAAUCUAAACUUGGUUUUUGUUUUUCAAAAACUUAAUAUCUAAUUAAAACAAAUUAGGUUUUAAAUAAACUAUAACUAUAGGAAAUACAAUCUAAAUACUCUCUAAGCACUCUAUAUGCCAGCAUUCCUAUAGCUGGUAGGGGCUACCAAUAAGACGUUACUCCUUGCCCUCAAGCUGCUUGCUCUUUGAAGAGUCAGAACUACAAAUACAGUGUGACGGGCGCUCCAGUUGUUUCUGCAGCCCAGUUACACAAUAAAGAAAGAAUUACCUCCUCAUGCUCCAUUUCUAAAGCUAUACUUGACUUCUGAAUCCCCCAGUAAUCUGAGUCAAUGUGGACAUUCUAUGCUUUGAGGAUUAUUUCCAGCUCAGCACUUCCUCACACAGGAACAACAAUACCCUCUCAUUACAGAACUUCUGUUCUUCAGAAGGCACUGAUUCCAGUCCUCUAUGUCUGCACACAUUAUCACCUUCAUCAAUUAACCUCAUGUUUGUAAAGCAUCCAUUGAGCUCCAGUUCACUGUGCAUGAUGUAUGAAUGACCAGCUGCUGCACCAGGUGAGCACAUACAGGCAUAUACUCAGACAGUGCAAAUGUGACCUCACUGUGCCCCCAGGAGCUAUUCCUUCACACUCUUAGAACAAAAAGUUGGCUUUACAGUAUUGACUUCUUCAUUGAAAAAUCAAAGGCCUUUUCUCCCUCCUCAGUCUAUCUGAGAGUUUCAUAUAAUCCUUUCUAAGAACCCACAGGAAAUUUUGAUGCAUCCUUGUCAGGUCAGGAAAGCCUUGCAGCCAGGUCUCCUCUCAAACAGGGUAAGACUUCAUCUUGCCCAGAUUCUGCAUCACUGCUAUCCAAGCAGUCUGCAGUUAGCUUCUGCUUAAGCAUACUAAUCUGUCAGUAGACCCGAAGACCUAUAGCAUAUACUCCUCCAGAGUUGCUGCCUUCCUUAAGCAUCCUACCUCAUCGAUAUCCAAGCUAUCCUUUUUAGGAGAUGGUGGGAAUCUAUAGUAAGCCUCUGAAAUAUGUGACUCUGGGAAUUGUGUACAAGGAGAAGUCUAAGCCCAAGAGAAAUAUGGGAUCCCCGGUGAUCCAACAGGAAGUAGCAGAUGCAGGCAGUCAGGGAAGGUACAGAGGCUGGGGAGACAUGGUGGGCUAGUACAUUAGCUACGCUGCAUAGAGUCAGUCUUCCUCUUAACACUGUGUAUCCAAUAAACGGUAAAUCCUGUGGGUUCCUCCUUCAGAAUAUUUCCACGAUCUGACUCCUCUUCCUUAUCCUCACCAUAUACACCAUACCUGCAGCCAACAUCAUCUCCUAACUAGAUCAAUGUCAUGGCCUUCUAACUGGUCUGCCUACUUCCUCACCAGAUAUUGUCCUGUCUCUGGACCUUUGCAUUUGCAGUUUCCUCUGCCUGAAGUUCCUCCCUAACAUGCCCUUGCUGCUCACUCUGCACCUCUUUCAGGUCCUUGUUCAAAUGUUACUUUGCUAGUGAAGCCUUCCUCCAAACCCCCACUCUUAGAAAUCACACACACACACACACACACACACACACACACUCACACUCACACUCCCAUCCAUUUCUUCCUGUUAACUUCCCUAGCUAAUUUUUCUUCACUUUGUUAUACACCUUAUUUUUUCUUUUGCAGUUUGCUUAUGGUCUGUUUCCCAUCUUCUCCCUAGAAGGUUAGGUAGCUAAUGAGGAUGUGAAUUUUGUCUUUUUGCUCACCUCUGUGUUCUUACUGCCUAUAAUAAGUAACCCAGCACAUAGGAGCCUGGUAAAUGCUGAAUGAAUCAAUAAUCAAUGACUUCCCCUCUCAAAGAGUUAGGGAGACUUCUAUGUGACACCUAGUUAGGCAUAACUCUUCUCUUCUAGAUACUGAAACACAGUGAUACUUUAAUGCUGAUAGCAAAGGUGUAUCUAAUAAGCUUAUGAAUUGAAUUGGGAAUGUUAGCUGUUGGAGGGGGUCCUUGGUAAAUUGGGGCAAGACUCAGCUAAAAUUCUUAGUUAUACUAAGGUUUCUCAGUGUAAUAAGGAGAAAAUACUAGAGAAGAAGGAGGCAUGGCUAUAUGCCAUUGCAGUUUAGUUUGGUUUAAAAUAAACCUGGUGGGGCACCUGAGUGGCUCAGUGGUUGAGCAUCUGCCUUUGGCUCAGGUUGUGAUCCUGGAGUCCUAGGAUCGAGUCCUGCAUCAGGCUCCUUGCAGGGCAGCCUGCUUCUCUCUUUGUCUAUGUCUCUGCCUCUCUCUGUGUCUCUCAUGAAUAAAUAAAUAAAAUCUUAAAAAUAAAAUAAAA
rnacentral:lncRNA from 1 species